GACCGCCUGGGGAGUACGGCCGCAAGGUUAAAACUCAAAUGAAUUGACGGGGGCCCGCACAAGCGGUGGAGCAUGUGGUUUAAUUCGAUGCAACGCGAAGAACCUUACCUGGUCUUGACAUAUCUAGAAUCCUGCAGAGAUGCGGGAGUGCCUUCGGGAAUUAGAAUACAGGUGCUGCAUGGCUGUCGUCAGCUCGUGUCGUGAGAUGUUGGGUUAAGUCCCGCAACGAGCGCAACCCUUUUCCUUAGUUACCAGCGGUUUGGCCGGGAACUCUAAGGAUACUGCCAGUGACAAACUGGAGGAAGGCGGGGACGACGUCAAGUCAUCAUGGCCCUUACGACCAGGGCUACACACGUGCUACAAUGGUAGGUACAGAGGGCAGCUACACAGCGAUGUGAUGCGAAUCUCAAAAAGCCUAUCGUAGUCCAGAUUGGAGUCUGCAACUCGACUCCAUGAAGUAGGAAUCGCUAGUAAUCGCGGAUCAGAAUGCCGCGGUGAAUACGUUCCCGGGCCUUGNACA
rnacentral:rRNA from 1 species